AGAGUUUGAUCAUGGCUCAGAUUGAACGCUGGCGGCAGGCCUAACACAUGCAAGUCGAGCGGUAGCACAGAGAGCUUGCUCUCGGGUGACGAGCGGCGGACGGGUGAGUAAUGUCUGGGAAACUGCCUGAUGGAGGGGGAUAACUACUGGAAACGGUAGCUAAUACCGCAUAACGUCGCAAGAACAAAGUGGGGGACCUUCGGGCCUCAUGCCAUCAGAUGUGCCCAGAUGGGAUUAGCUAGUAGGUGGGGUAACGGCUCACCUAGGCGACGAUCCCUAGCUGGUCUGAGAGGAUGACCAGCCACACUGGAACUGAGACACGGUCCAGACUCCUACGGGAGGCAGCAGUGGGGAAUAUUGCACAAUGGGCGCAAGCCUGAUGCAGCCAUGCCGCGUGUGUGAAGAAGGCCUUCGGGUUGUAAAGCACUUUCAGCGGGGAGGAAGGCGNCGAUUGACGUUACCCGCAGAAGAAGCACCGGCUAACUCCGUGCCAGCAGCCGCGGUAAUACGGAGGGUGCAAGCGUUAAUCGGAAUUACUGGGCGUAAAGCGCACGCAGGCGGUCUGUCAAGUCGGAUGUGAAAUCCCCGGGCUCAACCUGGGAACUGCAUUCGAAACUGGCAGGCUAGAGUCUUGUAGAGGGGGGUAGAAUUCCAGGUGUAGCGGUGAAAUGCGUAGAGAUCUGGAGGAAUACCGGUGGCGAAGGCGGCCCCCUGGACAAAGACUGACGCUCAGGUGCGAAAGCGUGGGGAGCAAACAGGAUUAGAUACCCUGGUAGUCCACGCCGUAAACGAUGUCGAUUUGGAGGUUGUGCCCUUGAGGCGUGGCUUCCGGAGCUAACGCGUUAAAUCGACCGCCUGGGGAGUACGGCCGCAAGGUUAAAACUCAAAUGAAUUGACGGGGGCCCGCACAAGCGGUGGAGCAUGUGGUUUAAUUCGAUGCAACGCGAAGAACCUUACCUGGUCUUGACAUCCACAGAACUUNUUGGUGCCUUCGGGAACUGUGAGACAGGUGCUGCAUGGCUGUCGUCAGCUCGUGUUGUGAAAUGUUGGGUUAAGUCCCGCAACGAGCGCAACCCUUAUCCUUUGUUGCCAGCGGUUAGGCCGGGAACUCAAAGGAGACUGCCAGUGAUAAACUGGAGGAAGGUGGGGAUGACGUCAAGUCAUCAUGGCCCUUACGACCAGGGCUACACACGUGCUACAAUGGCAUAUACAAAGAGAAGCGACCUCGCGAGAGCAAGCGGACCUCAUAAAGUAUGUCGUAGUCCGGAUUGGAGUCUGCAACUCGACUCCAUGAAGUCGGAAUCGCUAGUAAUCGUAGAUCAGAAUGCUACGGUGAAUACGUUCCCGGGCCUUGUACACACCGCCCGUCACACCAUGGGAGUGGGUUGCAAAAGAAGUAGGUAGCUUAACCUUCGGGAGGGCGCUUACCACUUUGUGAUUCAUGACUGGGGUGAAGUCGUAACAAGGUAACCGUAGGGGAACCUGCGGUUGGAUCACCU
rnacentral:rRNA from 1 species